AACGAACGCUGGCGGCAUGCCUAACACAUGCAAGUCGAACGAGACCUUCGGGUCUAGUGGCGCACGGGUGCGUAACGCGUGGGAACCUGCCCUUAGGUUCGGAAUAACUCCCCGAAAGGGGUGCUAAUACCGGAUAAUGUCUUCGGACCAAAGAUUUAUCGACUUUGGAUGGGCCCGCGUUGGAUUAGCUAGUUGGUAGGGUAAAAGCCUACCAAGGCGACGAUCCAUAGCUGGUCUGAGAGGAUGAGCAGCCACACUGGGACUGAGACACGGCCCAGACUCCUACGGGAGGCAGCAGUGGGGAAUAUUGGACAAUGGGCGAAAGCCUGAUCCAGCAAUGCCGCGUGAGUGAUGAAGGCCUUAGGGUUGUAAAGCUCUUUUACCCGGGAUGAUAAUGACAGUACCGGGAGAAUAAGCUCCGGCUAACUCCGUG
rnacentral:rRNA from 1 species